ensembl:lncRNA
CUCCAGCGGUGGGAGGUGGAGGUGUGUGUGCGUCGGGAGGGAGCCGUCGUGGAUGAAGGGGAUAAACGGAGUUAGUUUUGGAUGGGGGACAACCGGGGGAAGAGCAGGAGUCCGUGAGAGAGUCAACGGCCAGUAACGACCUGCAGCUGGACCGAACCACAGCGAAUCACGCGGCGCGGCUGCUCCUCUGCGGUUUGGACUGUUGAUCCCCGGGGGGACGCGGACAAACAGCCCGGUCUGAGGAAAUUCCUCCGUCUCUAGUUUCUCGGCCCCUUUCUGUACAGGGGGUCCUAUGACCAAAACAAGGUAUGCUGCUAUACAUCAGUACUUUUCAUACUGUAGUCAGUUUAAGUUUUUCUGCUACUUUACAGUCCUGAAAAGUAGUUCAUUCAAACCAGACCGCAAAGUUUGUGAGAUAAAAAGUAUUUUAAAAAAUCCAGACAUACCUGCUCUUCCAAUUAGCUGCAGGAGUCAAACAGAAAGACCUCAAAUGCAAAGAACGAAUGAAUUAAAUACAUUUAAUUUUAUUUUUGUGUCAUGCAGCCAUGGGUUUCUAUAAGGUCCGUCUAUGACAGGUAUGAUGCGGCAGUUUUGACAGAAGGGUCUAAUCAUGGCACCAUUGCACGUGUCAACAUUUUGAGACUCCAAAUUUCAGAGUAUGGGGCUGUGAAGCUUUUCAUGUCCAUUCCUGUGGAUCAAGACUGUUGAUCCGACAUGGGAAUGUGGUUUUAAGGCAUUCCAGUGAAGACUAGGGCAGACCAAUCUGACCAAAUGGCACUAAUCCCAAAAAGUACAGGGUGAUGGAGGCUUUUCUUUUCAGAUUAGGCUUUAGAAAGGAAAAACAAAUCAUUGUGAUGCACGCCUUUCUUUCAUACAGUUAGAAUUGAGUAUUAACUGUACAGAAAGUAAUAUAUCCUGUCAUUUACUGUACACAUUGUAACUUCACCAAACAUCAUGCUGCAGGGCCUGUACGAUUUUGGAGGUAGAAACCUCUUUUAAGUAUAGGAUCUGUUUUGAUUCUACUUACUGUACAUACUAACAUUAUUAUUCUAUUUUUCUUGCUAGUUUCGGUAAACCACAGUUCUUCCCAACUCUGUUGUAGAAGUUUAUCCCAAACCAGCUCCAUGGGGUUUAAGUCUGGAGACUGUGCUGCCACUCCAUGUUUUCAAGCUCACCAUCUUGUUCUUUUUUCCUAAUGUAGUUGUGGCAUAGCUUGGACUUAUGUUUUGGGUCAUUAUCUUGCUGUAGGAUGAACCACUGACCAACUAGGAACAUACCAGAGAGUACUGCAUGGUGCUGCAGAAUGCUGUGGUAGCUGUUUUGGUUCAGGGUUCCUCUCACUCUGUUGACUCUCAGAAACUUGUCUUCUGAUUCCAUUGUGGCUUUGAGUCUUCCAGACCUCUUCCCGUCAGAGUUUCCCCCAGUUUCUGAGCCUUUUGAUGGAGAAGAAAACUCUACUCACUGACACAUUGACUUUCUUUGCAAUUUCCCUGUAGGAAAGACCUACAUUUUUAAGUGUCAUGACUGUCUGUCUCUUCUAUUGUUAACUGCCUUUUCCUCUUCAUUUUUCAUAGCAACACACUACAGAGGAGGUUGUAAGUAAUCAAGACAAGUUGGGACACCUGUAAGAUUUGGUAGCACCAGCUUUCAAGGUUUGAUCAGCCUCCAUUGCUGCAGAACAGAACCUUUUUUUUUUUUUUUAGCCUGUGGCACUUCACCACUUACCUUUGUACCAUUUUAAGCUAUUCACCGAACUUGAAACUACUUGAAUAUCAAUAAACUGUAAAAAUUGGGGCGUUCUAAAGGUUUUGACCAGUCAUAUUAGAGAGGACAGCAGAGUUAAGGUCUAAUAAGAGACAAUACAAAAACUAACCUUUAGGGAAAUUAGAUUAAUGCCAAAACUUUCCAUUUCUGAACAAAACACACACAGUAUCACAGAUGUAAAGCGCUGCUCACAUUCAGUCAUUUCAACCAUUCUUUAGUCUUUGUUUAAAACCUUAGCGAAACACAUUUUAGGACAAUCCAAUAUACAGAUGCAUUUUUUUAAAAAAAAUAGCAAUAAAACAAUACACGACUGUGUCAGAUUGAAACUAAAUUUAACAAUGCCAUAAAGUGUGAGAAUUAACAGUGAGACAAAUAAAGGAGCAAGAAUAAAUUAAACAUUAAGAGCAACUGCAUUCAUAAUCAGUAAGAGCAGCAAAAUGAAGCUUGAAACCUUGAAUGAAUGAAUGAAUGAGUAAUGAAUCUAAUACUGUAAGUAACCUCAAAGCAGCUGCCAGUUGUUGGAGCUUGGCCCUGUUACAUUGUUGUUUACUGUCACUGGCCCAAACUAUUACUCAUGAAAUACCACCACAUGUAGAAAUAUGAAUGAAGUAAAUGCUGUUAUUUUCCUCCUCAG